rnacentral:rRNA from 1 species
GCAGUCGAACGGCAGCACGGGAGCAAUCCUGGUGGCGAGUGGCGAACGGGUGAGUAAUAUAUCGGAACGUGCCCAGUCGUGGGGGAUAACGCAGCGAAAGCUGUGCUAAUACCGCAUACGAUCUCUGGAUGAAAGCGGGGGACCUGUAAGGGCCUCGCGCGAUUGGAGCGGCCGAUAUCAGAUUAGCUAGUUGGUGGGGUAAAAGCUCACCAAGGCGACGAUCUGUAGCUGGUCUGAGAGGACGACCAGCCACACUGGAACUGAGACACGGUCCAGACUCCUACGGGAGGCAGCAGUGGGGAAUUUUGGGCAAUGGGCGCAAGCCUGAUCCAGCAAUGCCGCGUGCAGGAUGAAGGCCUUCGGGUUGUAAACUGCUUUUGUACGGAACGAAACGGCUCCUUUUAAUACAGGGGGCUAAUGACGGUACCGUAAGAAUAAGCACCGGCUAACUACGUGCCAGCAGCCGCGGUAAUACGUAGGGUGCGAGCGUUAAUCGGAAUUACUGGGCGUAAAGCGUGCGCAGGCGGUGAUGUAAGACAGAUGUGAAAUCCCCGGGCUCAACCUGGGACCUGCAUUUGUGACUGCAUCGCUAGAGUACGGUAGAGGGGGAUGGAAUUCCGCGUGUAGCAGUGAAAUGCGUAGAUAUGCGGAGGAACACCGAUGGCGAAGGCAAUCCCCUGGACCUGUACUGACGCUCAUG